rnacentral:misc_RNA from 1 species
AAAGAACACACACACAUAUAUAUAUAUACAUAACCGUGCCAUAUCCGUUAUAAAAUCUUGCUUUAAGUUUUCUUAGCAAAAAUUACAUCGCUUCAAAUGAUUUCCAUUGUUUUAAAUCUUUGGAUCACAAUAUUGUAAAUUUUUGCAUCUUGCAAUAAAUGAAGAAUUUUUCGACUGAGUAGUCAAAUAAAAAGGAAGAUCUGCGAUACAUUUACUUAGGAAUGUUGAAUUAUAUUGAACUUCUGAUGAAAUUUAUUUUCUCAACGUCUCUAUUGAUUAACACAUCAGAUUCCAUUGCAGCUAUUAACCAACUAGAAACCAUAGGCUGUUCAGGAAAUGAUCAAUGCUCUACACCUGAGUGCCUUGAAGCAGCUGUUGACAUCUACUACAGUUUGGAUAACACCACGAAUCCUUGUCAUGAUUUCUAUCAAUUCGCCUGUGGUGGCUGGCUGAACACACAUUUCCCUUUUGAUAUCUACCCACCCAUGGUUUCUGUUCUUACUGAAAUUUAUGAUGAUAAGUUCUUCAAACUCAGAGUAUUGUUAGAAAAAGACACAACGGAAGACGAAUCUUAUGAAAACUUGUUGAAAAGCAUGUACAGGUCUUGUAUGGAAACUGAAAAAAUCGAAGAAAAAGGUCUCGAGCCUCUAAAAGGAAUUCUGGACUCUCUCGGAGGGUGGCCAAUGUUGAAAGGGAAGAGCUGGGAUGCAGCGUCCUUUGACUGGAUUGAAACUCUCCGUCGACUUCGGGAGCUCGGCUACGAUCACAACAUCUUGAUAGGGUUGCAAGUUACCUCUAAUAAAAUCUUCGGACUUCCUCACACCAUAAUAUUGGAUCAUGCAUCAUUAGGAAUACCUCGCUCCAGUUUGUUGGAUUUAAAUCAUGAGGAAAGAUUUCUUUACUACCUCUGGAUGUUUAGAACAGCUCAAGAAAUGGACGCAAGAAAACAAAAUCUAUAUCUGGAAAACGAAAUCUGGGAUGCUCUCAAUUUUGAAGCAAUGUUGGCCAAAAUCUCUACGUCAAACGAGGAUAGCGCAGACCAUCAUUAUGAGCAUCACACCGUUAAGGAUCUCUUAAAUUCGGAAAAAGAGGUUGACUGGUUGAGAUUUUUCAGUGCACUGCUCAGUGAGCAGGUUACCGAAAAUGAGCACCUAUUUAUUAAAGAUAAAAAUUUCGUCACCAAAUUCGCCGAUUUAAUGAAAAAAACGGACAAGAGGGUUGUAGCCAACUACAUGAUGUGGAGAGUAAUUCAAGCAUCAUUUUCUCUUCUGCCGGAGCAAUGGAAGAACAUUGCUAAGUUUCAUAGCACAGGAAUGAUCACAAAAACCCCGCGCUGGAUAGAAUGCAUUUCUGAUUUAAGCAACAGUGGCCUGGAUAUAGCACUUAAUUCCUACUAUUUUCGACAUUACUCCGAAGAGGAAAACAAGGAUGCUGAGUUGAUGAUAAUUUCUAACAUGAAUGAAGAAUUCUUAAAUAUUCUUGAGACCGAAAACUGGAUUGAUGAAACAAUUAAAGAUCUCGUAAAAGAUACUAUGAACGUCAUAGAACAUCAUAUUGGAUAUCCAAAUGUUCUUCGGAAUGAUGAUUUAAUUUCUAAAAUAUAUAAAGAUUUAAAACUUAACGGAGACAGUUAUUUUGCCAAAACUUUACAAUUGCGCCGAUGGUCAACUCACUACUACUACUCUCGGUUUCGAAAACCUUAUGAAGAAAUUGAUUGGCUAAAAGAUAGGGUACGUUCUGCAGACGUAGCAGCUUAUGUACCCUUCUCGAGCAGCAUUGAACUCCCCGAGGAAUAUUUGCGUUAUCCAUAUUUUAGCAAGGAUUUACCCGGGUAUUUGAAUUUUGGAGGCUUAGGGUUUGCUUUUGGUCGCCAAAUUGUGUAUGGAUUAUAUGAUAUAGGUGAAGAAAUUAUUUACAUAAAAAUAUAAGCUCAGCAGUUUAGUAAAAAUAGUAGGCAGCCGAACGAAAUAGAUGGCCAGCAGUGUUUCAAAGAACAAUAUGUUGAAAGUAGAAUGAAGAUAAAUAGCAAAAAGACGCUAUUAGAAAGUAUGGCUGACAAUGGAGGUUUGAG